rnacentral:rRNA from 1 species
CCUACGGGUGGCAGCAGUGAGGAAUAUUGGUCAAUGGACGAGAGUCUGAACCAGCCAAGUAGCGUGAAGGAUGACUGCCCUAUGAGUUGUAAACUUCUUUUGUAUAAGGGUAAACCGUUACACGUGUGGUCUGUUGUAUUUACCAUAUGAAUAAGGAUCGGCUAACUCCGUGCCAGCAGCCGCGGUAAUACGGAGGAUCCAAGCGUUAUCCGGAUUUAUUGGGUUUAAAGGGUUGGAAGGAGGAUUUUUAAGUCAGCGGUAAAAUCGUGGGGCUCAACCCGAUCCAGCCGUUGAGACUGGUGAUCUAGAGGGUGCGUGAGGUAUGCGGAAUGUGUGGUGUAGCGGUGAAAUGCAUAGAGAUCACGCAGAACCCCGAUUGCGAAGGCAGCAUACCGGUGCAUAACUGACGCUCAGGCACGAAAGCGUGGGUAGCGAACAGGAUUAGAUACCCUGGUAGUC